AAAUAAUGUCAACUCGCCCCACUUGCCAAUCGGCCCACACUAUAUCGCCACUUUAUAAAAAAAUCGCCCCACUCUUGUUUACCGACUCGCCCCACUUUUGAAAAAGUGUAAACUCAAAUUGAACAAUCAGUCUGAAAACUCACUUAUUCAUGUUAUUAACGAAAAAGGUUUAAACCCCACUGAAUAAAGGUUUGACAACUCGCCCCACUUAUAAAAAGAUCUUGCUUCCUUUAAGUAUGUCAAAUUACUAUUAAUUCGUAUCCAGUCGUCCUGGUGUAGUGGUAUGUGUCGUGGCUUGAUAUGCUAAAGGUCUUGAGUUCGAAUCCCAGCAUAUACACUGGAUUUUUUCUACGUGAAUUUUGAUAGAUAGUCUUUUCCGUAUAAUUGAUUAUAAGUUUUAUAGUGGAUUUGACAUUCCCGCCAAAAAUGUUACAGAACAAAGGAAAGCAUGCAUAACAAAGAAACUCAAACUGGGGUGAUCCGUCUCAGAUCACCCCUGUUAGAACAAAGGAG
rnacentral:lncRNA from 1 species